GUGGUAUUCUCGAAAGCGGCCUAAGUUAAAUCAGUGGCCUAAACCUGGUUUAAACCAUGGACUAUCUUUUUUGCUAUUCUCGAAGGUGGCCUAAAGAUAAGCCAGGCUUAAAUACGUCAUAGUUCGGCCUAACUUUAGGCGGCUCAGAGGGCAGGUUUAAAUACGUCAUAGUUCGGCCUAACUUCGCGUGACGUCACUUUUUAGUUAAAUCGACUGUCCGCGGAGAGUGAACGGUUCUUUUCAAUUGAUGCAUGGGGAUGAAAAAAGAAGGCCUCUCCCAAGCUAUGGUGUCCCGCCUUGUGAAGUCCAUCUCAAUAGCCAUUGCCAGGAGAUGGGAGCAAUACAUCUCAAUUCCUUCAACAAGAGAGGCAGUCCUGCAGAGUGCAGACCCAACAUGAAUGUUAUAAUUACUGCCAUUUCCCUGGCGUUAAUAUGGUGCACCCACAUAGGCAUCUCCAAGCCAGUUGGCCCAACACCAGUUAUUUCCUGAACAGGAAAAAAAGAUACUCCAUUUUUCUUGGAAAGUCUGCUGGAUGAUGUUUUUCUUCAGUAAAAUAAAUGAAGGCAAAUUCCCUGAUAACUGAGACAAAUUCAGAGAGAGGAAGGAGAACUACUGAGCUGCUGAAUUUCUGACAGACUUGCAAGGACUAUGAAGUUCUACUUAGCCUCUUCAAUGAACCAGACUCCAUCUGCUGUAACUGUGACUGCGUGGGGAUCAAAACCUUUGUAUUAUAAUCCUCAUAACAUGAAGCUAUGGUAACAAACAAGCAACCAUUGAUAAAAAGCCUGAUAUAUCCUUGUUGUAUGUGUGAACCACAAAGCAACCAUCACUCAUAAGGAUGUUUUUAUGUACAUCAGAUCUUCAUUGUUUCACUGGAAAAUUGUGAUUUUGAAUCAUUUCAGAAAUCAUGUUUUGUAAUGUGUUUUAUAACAUAGUGCAAGUCAUGAUAUAACAGAUUCCCUGCAAAAGAAACAUGGCUCAAAAGUAGACUAUGCUUUGUUUUAAAAAAAUGGGAAAAAGUAAUGUAACAAAUGCAUAACAUUUAAUUCUAAUAGUUUCAAGUUGCAGAUUAUGUGGCUAUUGCAGCUUAAUAUUUGACCUUCAAUUUUAUAAUCGUAUUCAUCGUGAAUUACAAUCUUUUCUGUUUCAAGAAAAAUAAAUGAAUUGAACAUAAUUGUUGAUAUGUUAUAUACAAUAUUCCUUUCAUAUCUUUUGAUUUUAAGUGUGCAUACUGUUGGGUUCAUUGAAUUAUACAUGAAAAAAGUCUUGUAAUAGAACAGUGAGAGAACAGAGAGCGAGUGAGAGAGAGAGAGAGAGUAAAAGAGAAAGGGAACCAAAUGAGA
rnacentral:lncRNA from 1 species